rnacentral:tRNA from 1 species
GGUUAGGUUCCCGAGCGGUCAAAGGGAGCAGACUGUAAAUCUGCCGGCUCCGCCUUCGAAGGUUCGAAUCCUUCUCUAACCACCA